UCUACGGGCGGCAGCAGUGAGGAAUAUUGGUCAAUGGGCGGAAGCCUGAACCAGCCAAGUCGCGUGAGGGAAUAAGGCCCUACGGGUCGUAAACCUCUUUUGCCGGGGAGCAAGGUCGGGGACGUGUCCCGGCCCGGAGAGUCCCCGGAGAAAAAGCAUCGGCUAACUCCGUCCCAGCAGCCGCGGUAAUAGGGAGGAUGCGAGCGUUAUCCGGAUUUAUUGGGUUUAAAGGGUGCGUAGGCGGGCGUUUAAGUCAGCGGGAAAAGUUCGGGGCUCAACCCCGUCCGGCCAUUGAAACUGGGGGCCUUGAGUGGGCGAGAAGAAGGCGGAAUGCGUGGUGUAGCGGUGAAAUGCAUAGAUAUCACGCAGAACCCCGAUUGCGAAGGCAGCCUUCCGGAGCCCGACUGACGCUGAGGCACGAAAGUGCGGGGAUCGAACAGGAUUAGAUACCCGUGUAGUC
rnacentral:rRNA from 1 species